CAAAGAUUAAGCCAUGCAUGUGA
rnacentral:rRNA from 3 species